rnacentral:lncRNA from 1 species
UAAGACGGGUAAGUCCAAGACAAAAACUGUAAUAAUACUAACUGGGACCUCUGAGUAGUCCAUGACGUCAUAACGUAGUCCGACUAAGAGAUGUCGCUACAAUCAACCGUCGAUGACGUCAUAUGUUUACAUUCUCACAAAAAACGUGACAGCACAGCAGACGAACUUCAGAGCGCGCAUAUCAUAAUGGUUGGGAAGUCAUAUCCAUGUGUUGUAUGCAAAAGGCGAUAAGAUACACAUACUUCACAUCAUUUUCGUAGAUUUCCAAAAGACAAAGAAAGGUGUCUGUUAUGGCUAAAUAUAUUGCAUAUCCCAAGCCUCCACGAAAAAAGCCACAUUCAGCUGAAUAGAAGCUACCGCGUGUGCAGUCACCAUUUCUCUGCCUCUCAAUAUUGCAACACCUCAUCAGCUAAACUAUUAAGCACUGCUUGCCCUGACCAAAAUUUAGAAGGAAUUGGUUCAUUGGGAGAGGCUGGCCAGUCUGCAAUUGCUAAUGAGGACAAAUUAGAUGGUAUAGUAAUUUUAUUGCUUUUAUGUGACAUUAUAAAUAAAAUGAUGAUAUAAUUUGCACUAUAAUAGUAAC